AAAACGAUGCUAUAGAUAUACAAUGUGUACAUUUGUUGCCGAUUGCAUGAAUGAAAAUUUCACUACUGUGUGGGAUUAAAAGGUUAAUACAAUGUAUACAUUAAAAUAGAUGACAAGUUGGGAUUGGAACAAAUGAUGUUUUCCAAUCUUGUUCAAUGAUUUAGCACUAUCAGAAAUACAGAUCAAUUUCUAUUUGCAGCACAAUCCCAUUUAAAGUUUUCGAGUAGUUCUGUUUCUGAUCGGUCUUAAAUUUUGCCAAUCCUGGAGGGGUCAUGCUGUGCCACACCACCGGGACUUCGACCCAUCCUAUCGUGUUUUGACCAUCUGUAUAUUAAUUUCAGAUUUCAAAGUCAAAGUAGAGGGAGCUAUG
rnacentral:lncRNA from 1 species